AACCAUUUCACUCUUAGAACUGGCAAUAUAAUGAGAUGAUGCACCUGUCAGCACCUACAACAGCAUGACAGAAGUUGGUGGCAAAAGUCUAAACAACAUUCGUUAUAAGGAGUAGCAGUAGACUUGAAUUCCCGUAUUGAUCAGAAUCGAGACUCGAUUCUUGAUUGAAGUGUAGUGAGUGUAGUGUUUCCUGGGACUUCGCUGUCAGCAUUUAUGGAAUGACGGAAAGGUCUUAGAGCACAGUCUUGUCCUUUGUGGACAGGGCUGCUAAGGGAUCUCCUGGAAGUCAUUCCCAACUUUAGCCAUCGAUGGACCAGGAGCGUAAAAGCAAAAUGUAAAGGUCAAAGUGAGUCGUUUCGAUUUAUCAGCUGGCACUGAUGAUAAUCGUGAUGAAUUCCGUGGGAAACGCAAAAGUUUGUGAAGUAACUUAUGUCGAUAGAAUUUUGGAGGGUUAGUUUG